GACGAACCGUCCAAACGUUAUUCGGAAUCACUGGGCUUAAAGGGUGCGUAGGCGGCGCGGAAAGUUGGGUGUGAAAUCCCCGGGCUCAACCCGGGAACUGCGUCCGAUACUGGUUGGCUUGAAUCCGGGAGAGGGAUGCGGAAUUCCAGGUGUAGCGGUGAAAUGCGUAGAUAUCUGGAGGAACACCGGUGGCGAAGGCGGCAUCCUGGACCGGCAUUGACGCUGAGGCGCGAAAGCCAGGGGAGCAAAGCGGGG
rnacentral:rRNA from 1 species